UCCCAGGUGAUCUAGUGGUUAGGAUUUGUUACUAUCACUGCUACAGCCCAGGUUCAAUCCCUGGCCUGGGAA
rnacentral:tRNA from 2 species